UACGGGGGGGGCAAGCGUUGUUCGGAAUUACUGGGCGUAAAGGGCUCGUAGGCGGCCAACUAAGUCAGACGUGAAAUCCCUCGGCUUAACCGGGGAACUGCGUCUGAUACUGGAUGGCUUGAGUUUGGGAGAGGGAUGCGGAAUUCCAGGUGUAGCGGUGAAAUGCGUAGAGAUCGGGAGGAACACCCGUGGCGAAGGCGGCCAUCUGGACCAGCACUGACGCUGAGGCACGAAAGCGUGGGGAGCAAACAGG
rnacentral:rRNA from 1 species